rnacentral:piRNA from 1 species
UGGACACACAGGUGAUUGAGGUUACG